AAGGUAUAAUAGAUAAUAGCUUGGUUUUUACCAAGAGGAAAGUCCGAGCUGCGGUGAGGCAAGGUUUCAUUUAACAAAUGACUAGAGUAAUCUAAGGGAUAGUGCAACAGAAAGUAAACAGCCACUUUUGUGGUGAUGGUGAAACGGUGGGGUAAGAGCCCACCAGUGCUUUGAGUAAUCUUAGUAGCUAUGUAAACCCAACCUGCAGCAAGAAGAGAAUGGUAAAAGCUUCACAAUUUGGCUCUUCGCAAGAGUAUCUAAGUGAUUAGAUACCUAGAUAAAUUAUUAUCAAAUACAGAACUCGGCUUACAAUUAUACCUUUUAC
rnacentral:RNase_P_RNA from 1 species